rnacentral:siRNA from 1 species
GGGAUUACGGGAUUCGGCCCAGA